UGUCCAAUGCGGGAAUCGAACCCGGGUCAUAGUGGUUGAAAACCAAACGGUUUAACCAGCCUUCCACCAACAAUGC
rnacentral:tRNA from 1 species